UACCCGGUGAACCCCGCGCCGCGUGACCGAGGAAGGCCCUCGUGUCGUAAAGGUCUUUCAGCGGGGACUAUAGUGAAGGUACCCGCAGAAGCAGGAGCUGGCUAACUACUGUGCCAGCAGCCGCGGUAAUACUGUAGGCUCCAAGCGUUGUUCGGAAUCACUGGGCGUAAAGCGAGCGCAGGCGGCUGCGCCUUUUUCGUCGUGAAAUCUCCCGGCUCAACCGGGAGGGUGCGGUCGAAACUGGCGUGCUAGAGUGCGGCAGGGGAAGGCAGAAUUCCUGGUGUAGCGGUGGAAUGCGUAGAGAUCAGGAGGAAUGCCGGAGGUGAAGACGGCCUUCCGGGCCGCCACUGACGCUGAGGCUCGAAAGCGUGGGGAGCGAACAGGAUUAGAUACCCCCUGGA
rnacentral:rRNA from 1 species